UGAUGAUAAUUCUCCGGAAUCUCUGCAAGUGCAUUGAUGAUUACCCUGAACCCUUUUAUUCUGAUGACUAGAUUUCAUGCCUGAUU